rnacentral:tRNA from 1 species
GCGCCUUUGGCGGAAUGGCUGCGUGCUCGGCUGCAACCCGAGUUAUCCCGGUUCGACUCCGGGAGGGCGCUC